UACGUAGGGUGCGAGCGUUGUCCGGAAUUAUUGGGCGUAAAGAGCUUGUAGGCGGUUUGUCGCGUCUGCUGUGAAAAUCCGGGGCUCAACCCCGGACUUGCAGUGGGUACGGGCAGACUGGAGUGUGGUAGGGGAAACUGGAAUUUACGGUGUAGCAGUGAAAUGCGUAGAGAUCGUAAGGAAGACCAGUGGCGAAGGCGAGUUUCUGGACAGUAACUGACGCUGAGGCACGAAGGCCAGGGGAGCAAACGGG
rnacentral:rRNA from 1 species